UACGUAGAGUGCAAGCGUUAAUCGGAAUUACUGGGCGUAAAGCGUGCGCAGGCGGUGAUGUAAGUCAGAUGUGAAAUCCCCGGGCUCAACCUGGGAACUGCAUUUGUGACUGCAUCGCUGGAGUGCGGCAGAGGGGGAUGGAAUUCCGCGUGUAGCAGUGAAAUGCGUAGAUAUGCGGAGGAACACCGAUGGCGAAGGCAAUCCCCUGGGCCUGCACUGACGCUCAUGCACGAAAGCGUGGGGAGCAAACAGG
rnacentral:rRNA from 1 species